GCCAACACUGGCUUAGUUGGUUAGAGCGUAGUGCUGAUGACGCCAAGGCUGUAGGUUUGAUUCCCGUACGGGGCA